CCUACGGGAGGCAGCAGUGAGGAAUAUUGGUCAAUGGCCGCAGGUCUGAACCAGCCAAGUCGCGUGAGGGAUGACGGUCCUAUGGGUUGUAAACCUCUUUUGUCAGGGAGUAAAGCGCGCCACGUGUGGCGUUUUGCGCGUACCUUAUGUAAAAGCAUCGGCUAACUCCGUGCCAGCAGCCGCGGUAAUACGGAGGAUGCGAGCGUUAUCCGGAUUUAUUGGGUUUAAAGGGUGCGCAGACGGUAUGUCAAGUCAGCGGUAAAAUUUCGGGGCUCAACCCAGUCGUGCCGGUGAAACUGGCGGUCUUGAGUGAGCGAGAAGUAGGCGGAAUGCGUGGUGUAGCGGUGAAAUGCAUAGAUAUCACGCAGAACUCCGAUUGCGAAGGCAGCAUACCGGAGUGUAACUGACGCUCAUGCACGAAAGCGUGGGUAUCGAACAGGAUUAGAUACCCUAGUAGUC
rnacentral:rRNA from 1 species